rnacentral:rRNA from 1 species
CAGCGCCACGGUAAUACGUAGGGCGCAAGCGUUAUCCGGAAUUAUUGGGCGUAAAGAGCUCGUAGGCGGUUUGUCGCGUCUGCCGUGAAAGUCCGGGGCUCAACCCCGGAUCUGCGGUGGGUACGGGCAGACUAGAGUGAUGUAGGGGAGACUGGAAUUCCUGGUGUAGCGGUGAAAUGCGCAGAUAUCAGGAGGAACACCGAUGGCGAAGGCAGGUCUCUGGGCAUUAACUGACGCUGAGGAGCGAAAGCAUGGGGAGCGAACAGGAUUAGAUACCCCCGUAGUCCCUGUCUCUUAUACA